rnacentral:rRNA from 1 species
AGUGAACGCUGGCGGUAGGCCUAACACAUGCAAGUCGAACGGCAGCACAGUAAGAGCUUGCUCUUACGGGUGGCGAGUGGCGGACGGGUGAGGAAUACAUCGGAAUCUACUUUUUCGUGGGGGAUAACGUAGGGAAACUUACGCUAAUACCGCAUACGACCUACGGGUGAAAGCAGGGGAUCUUCGGACAUUGCGCGAGUGAAUGAGCCGAUGUCGGAUUAGCUAGUUGGCGGGGUAAAGGCCCACCAAGGCGACGAUCCGUAGCUGGUCUGAGAGGAUGAUCAGCCACACUGGAACUGAGACACGGUCCAGACUCCUACGGGAGGCAGCAGUGGGGAAUAUUGGACAAUGGGCGCAAGCCUGAUCCAGCCAUACCGCGUGGGUGAAGAAGGCCUUCGGGUUGUAAAGCCCUUUUGUUUGGAAAGAAAAGCAGCAGGUUAAUACCCCGCUGUUCUGACGGUACCCAAAGAAUAAGCACCGGCUAACUUCGUG